GAUGAACGCUGGCGGCGUGCCUAAUACAUGCAAGUCGAGCGAACAGACGAGGAGCUUGCUCCUCUGACGUUAGCGGCGGACGGGUGAGUAACACGUGGAUAACCUACCUAUAAGACUUGGAUAACUUCGGGAAACCGGAGCUAAUACCGGAUAAUAUAUUGAACCGCAUGGUUCAAUAGUGAAAGACGGUUUUGCUGUCACUUAUAGAUGGAUCCGCGCCGCAUUAGCUAGUUGGUAAGGUAACGGCUUACCAAGGCAACGAUGCGUAGCCGACCUGAGAGGGUGAUCGGCCACACUGGAACUGAGACACGGUCAAGACUCCUACGGGAGGCAGCAGUAGGGAAGCUUCCGCAAUGGGCGAAAGCCUGAAGGAGCAACGCCGCGUGAGUGAUGAAGGUCUUAGGAUCGUAAAACUCUGUUAUUAGGGAAGAACAAAUGUGUAAGUAACUAUGCACGUCUUGACGGUACCUAAUCAGAAAGCCACGGCUAACUACGUG
rnacentral:rRNA from 1 species